UACAGAGGAGCCAAGCGUUGUCCGGAUUGACUGGGCGUAAAGCGCACGCAGGCGGAUGCGCGCGUGGGGUGUGAAAUCUGGCCGCUUAACGGCCAGGCGCCAUCCCAUACGGCGCGUCUGGAGUGAUGCAGAGGUCGGUGGAAUUGCCGGUGUAGUGGUGAAAUGCGUAGAUAUGCGGAGGAACACCGAUGGCGAAGGCAAUCCCCUGGGCCUGCACUGACGCUCAUGCACGAAAGCGUGGGGAGCAAACAGG
rnacentral:rRNA from 1 species